GGACAAGGCUACAAUUGUCACAGAAGUUGAUGCAAAAGAUUCAAAUGCACCACCAAACCUUUGGAAUCUAGUUACUGUCCAUAGAGUUGAGGAACUAAAAUCCAUCGUUAGAAUGCUUCCUAUUUGGGCUUCAGGAAUCAACCGUAAACUAUAUUAGUAGUCUACUUGAAAUUUAUAGUCGUCACUGAGUCAUAGCUUCUUUCUCUCACUCAUUCUCACUUCCUAUGUAGUACUAGUACCAACACUUUAGAUUAAAGGUGUGUCCAAGUUAAUUGUUUAGUUCAUAUAUGAUAUAGGUGGAUUACCUACUCGCUGGGAAGAGACGCUUGAAGGUAUUUGCAAAAUGAGGUGUUAUGCAGAUGCACCAGUAGACACUAUGGGAUGCGAGAAAGCUGGUUCUACACUACCACCUAAGGGAGGAAGAUGAUGAGUCUCAGGAUAUUAUACUAUACUGUGACAUGGUGACUGAUGAGUUACAACAAUCAUGAAAAUCUCGGGAUGGUUUCUGACAGUAGUUUCAGUGCCUCUUCACACACCGACACAGAGGUUAAUUACUGAACAAUAUAGCGGAAAUAUUGAGUUACAACAACCGAGUCCCGUAUCAGUUCUUGACUCGUAGUUUUACAAAGACGACUCGUCGUGUUCACCAUCUCCAAUAAUGAAAAGAUGCAUUGAAUAUAAAGUGAGAGCCCUUGUUUCAGUUGUUCACAUGUAAACUUGCGUUCGACGUUGACGAAAUCAUUCUCAUGGGUAACACUCCUGUCAAUGGCCUCCUGCAGCAUUGGGAAGAUUAUACGAUGCGGAAGGUAAAGAACAAAAUUAAAUACUCUCUGAAUCAAUUUUUGCUAUUUCUUAUUUACAAUCAUUGACUCAUAAAUUUGUUAGAUAGUAUGAAAUUGUUUUCCGAGCUUUCUCAUAAUCGAAUUUGUAGUAUCAUCAAGGUGGGUGAAACCGAACCGAUGAUGGAUUUGAUUUGUUGCAUAUGCUGCUAAUCUUUUAUCAACAGAACCUCCAAACACUAUAUUGCUCCUUGUUGUUUGGUGUUUUUCUCUGUUCCUUGGUUGAUUGUUGAGUAUCCUUCUUUGAGGGAUAACUCUAGUUUUCAUAACUCGAGGGUAGUUAAGGAUUGGCUGUUGAUUGCAUUUUCGUGGUCUAUGA